rnacentral:lncRNA from 1 species
UGAUGAUCAAGAUUUCUGAUAUGCUCUAUCCCAAAACCCUAAGACUUGUCAAACCACUAUAUAUACUGACUCAUUUCCAUUGCAUUUCUCCACGUUUUACACCAAUACCGUCUCUAUCUAGAGCUUGAGAACAUAAAAGCUCUUCAAAAAAGGUAUGUUUAGUUUACCUUUGUUUCAUUUCAUACUUGCUUUAUGGUUUGCAAAACCCCAAGUAAUAGUCAGACAUAUGUAUAAACAGGAUUUUGUAUUUUGUUAACAGAUUCAAUGCAAUUGGGACGCUAAAGAAAGAACAACUUAGACUUUCAGUUGCAAGUUCUGCGGUAAUCUUCAUUAUACUAUCUCAAACAAUGAUAAUUUCAUCAAGUUUGGUACAUAAAGUUUGUUU